AGAGUUUGAUCCUGGCUCAGAGCGAACGCUGGCGGCAGGCUUAACACAUGCAAGUCGAGCGCCGUAGCAAUACGGAGCGGCAGACGGGUGAGUAACACGUGGGAACGUACCUUUUGGUUCGGAACAACACAGGGAAACUUGUGCUAAUACCGGAUAAGCCCUUACGGGGAAAGAUUUAUCGCCGAAAGAUCGGCCCGCGUCUGAUUAGCUUGUUGGUGAGGUAACGGCUCACCAAGGCGACGAUCCGUAGCUGGUCUGAGAGGACGAUCAGCCACACUGGGACUGAGACACGGCCCAGACUCCUACGGGAGGCAGCAGUGGGGAAUCUUGCGCAAUGGGCGAAAGCCUGACGCAGCGACGCCGCGUGAGGGAAGAAGGCCUUCGGGUUGUAAACCUCUUUCAGGAGGGACGAAGCUACUCGGGUUAAUACCCCAGAGGGUGACGGUACCUCCAGAAGAAGCCCCGGCUAACUACGUGCCAGCAGCCGCGGUAAUACGUAGGGUGCGAGCGUUGUCCGGAAUUAUUGGGCGUAAAGAGCUCGUAGGCGGUCUGUCGCGUCGAAUGUGAAAACCCGGGGCUCAACUCCGGGCUUGCAUUCGAUACGGCAGGCUAGAGUUCGGUAGGGGAGUCUGGAAUUCCUGGUGUAGCGGUGAAAUGCGCAGAUAUCAGGAGGAACACCGGUGGCGAAGGCGGGACUCUGGGCCGAUACUGACGCUGAGGAGCGAAAGCGUGGGGAGCGAACAGGAUUAGAUACCCUGGUAGUCCACGCCGUAAACGUUGGGCGCUAGGUGUGGGGGUCCUUCCACGACCUCCGUGCCGCAGCUAACGCAUUAAGCGCCCCGCCUGGGGAGUACGGCCGCAAGGCUAAAACUCAAAGGAAUUGA
rnacentral:rRNA from 1 species